UCACAUGUACAGCAUUUGGCGCCUCAAGAGCAAUAGUAUGGUUACAGAACCGACGUGAAGCCACUGUGGAACGAACGAGAACCACAAGCAGUGUUAGGCGAGAUGACCCUGGAGAGUUUCGAGUUGGUCGUCUCAAGCAUGAAAGAGUAAAAGUUCCACGUGGCGAGUCACUGAUGGAAUGGGCUGAGAAUGUCAUGCAAAUACAUGCAGAUCGGAAAUCAGUUCUUGAGGUAAUCUCAUAUAAAAUUAGAUUUAGGGAACAGGAAUGACACUUAGGGAACCAGCCCAAUGUGUAUCUUCACUGCAUUAAAAACUGUGGUAGGUAAACAUGAAGAGGGGUUUUCCUGUUCUGUAGGCAGAAGCCUUCUCCUCUGGCAGAGCAUCUUUUUCAUAAGAGGAUGUCAGUCCACCUCCUUAGGGGUUAGGUCUUGUGCCAUUAAUGAGCAACAAAGAAGAUCUCCACUCUUGAGGUGGCAAAGUGCUUGUUCUGCUUGAGGGUUUCU
rnacentral:sRNA from 1 species